GUACUGGAAUUGCUGGAGUGGAAGGCAGAGAAUGCCGUGCCUGACAAAGGAUUUGAGAAGCUAUUGAAAAUAUUGAAGAAGAAGCUUCCAAAGGAUAAUGAAUUGCCCGACAGUACAUACGCAACAAAGAAGGUCCUAUGCCCACUAGGAUUGGAGGUGCAGAAGAUACAUGCAUGCCCUAAUGACUGCAUCCUCUACCGCGGUGCGUACAAGGAUCUGAACACAUGCCCGGUAUGCGGUGCAUUGCGGUAUAAGAUCAGACAAGAUGACCCUGGUGAUGUUGACGGCGAGCCCCCCAGGAAGAGGGUUCCUGCGAAGGUGAUGUGGUAUGCUCCUAUAAUACCACGGUUGAAACGUCUGUUCAGAAACGAAGAGCAUGCCAAGUUGAUGCGAUGGCACAGUGAGGACCGUAAGAAAGACGGGAAGUUGAGAGCACCCGCUAACGGGUCGCAGUGGAGAAAAAUCGAGAGAAAGUACUGGGCUGAGUUUGCAGCUGACCCAAGGAACGUAUGGUUUGGUUUAAGUGCGGAUGGCAUUAAUCCUUUCGGGGAGCAGAACAGCAAUCACAACACCUGGCCCGUGGCUCUAUGUAUGUAUAACCUUCCUCCUUGGAUGUGCAUGAAGCGGAAGUUCAUUAUGAUGCCAGUUCUCAUCCAAGGCCCUAAGCAACCCGGCAACGACAUUGAUGUGUACCUAAGGCCAUUAGUUGAAGAACUUUUACAGCUGUGGAAUGGAAACGGUGUACGUACGUGGGAUGAGCACAAACAGGAGGAAUUUAACCUGCACGCGUUGCUGUUUGUAACCAUCAACGAUUGGCCCGCUCUCAGUAACCUUUCAGGACAGACAAACAAGGAAUACCACGCAUGCACGCACUGUUCAGAUGACACUGAAAGUAUAUACCUAGACAAAUGCAAGAAGAAUGUGUACCUGGGCCAUCGUCGAUUUCUUCCGACCAACCAUCAAUGUCGAAAGAAAGGCAAGCAUUUCAAAGGCGAGGCAGAUCACCGGAAGAAGCCAGCCAUGCGUACCGGUGAUCACGUACUUGCUAUGGUCAAUGAUUUACACGUAAUCUAU
rnacentral:rRNA from 1 species